ACAAAUUACAAGGGGGGUGCAUCGGAAUUUGCAACUAAAGAAGUGAACAACGGCAGACUGGCAAUGG
rnacentral:ribozyme from 1 species